GGUUGCUUGGGAAAGUGGUUACUCCGUUCCCUUCACACGGGAAAGAUCGCCGGUUCGAACCCGGCAGUGACCA